GACGAACGCUGGCGGCGUGCUUAACACAUGCAAGUCGAACGGAAAGGCCCUGCUUUUGUGGGGUGCUCGCGUGGCGAACGGGUGAGUAACACGUGAGUAACCUGCCCUUGACUUUGGGAUAACUUCAGGAAACUGCGGCUAAUACCGGCUAGGUGCUGCUGCUGCAUGGUGGGGGUUGGAAAUUUUCGGCGGUUGGGGAUGGACUCGCGGCUUAUCAGCUUGUUGGUGGGGUAGUGGCUUACGCAGGGUUUGACGGGUAGCCGGCCUGGGAGGGUGACCGGCCACAUGGGGACUGAGAGACGGCCCAGAGUCCUACGGUAGGCAGCAGGGGGGAAUAUUGCACAAUGGGCGGAAGCGUGAUUCAGCAGCGCCGCGUGCGGGAUGACGGCCUUCGGGUUGUAAACCGCUUUCGCCUGUGACGAAGCGUGAGUGACGGUAAUGGGUAAAGAAGCACCGGCUAACUACGUG
rnacentral:rRNA from 1 species